rnacentral:rRNA from 1 species
UACGUAGGUGGCAAGCGUUGUCCGGAUUUAUUGGGUUUAAAGGGUGCGUAGGCGGCCUUGUAAGUCAGUGCUGAAAUAUCCCGGCUUAACCGGGAGGGUGGCAUUGAUACUGCAGGGCUUGAGUAAGUUGAGGUUGGCGGAAUUGACGGUGUAGCGGUGAAAUGCUUAGAUAUCGUCAAGAACACCGAUAGUGAAGACAGCUAACUAAGCUUUAACUGACGCUGAGGCACGAAAGUGUGGGGGAUC